rnacentral:rRNA from 1 species
UACGUAGGUGGCAAGCGUUGUCCGGAAUUAUUGGGCGUAAAGCGCGUGUAGGCGGCUUUGCAAGUCGGGUGUGAAAGCCCUCAGCUCAACUGAGGAAGUGCGCCCGAAACUGCAGAGCUUGAGUACCGGAGAGGAUGGCGGAAUUCCCCAAGUAGAGGUGAAAUUCGUAGAUAUGGGGAGGAACACCGGUGGCGAAGGCGGCCAUCUGGACGGAUACUGACGCUGAGACGCGAAAGCGUGGGGAGCAAACAGG